AUUGAACGCUGGCGGCAGGCCUAACACAUGCAAGUCGAGCGGAUGAGUGGAGCUUGCUCCAUGAUUCAGCGGCGGACGGGUGAGUAACGCAUAGGAAUCUGCCUGGUAGUGGGGGACAACGUUUCGAAAGGAACGCUAAUACCGCAUACGUCCUACGGGAGAAAGUGGGGGAUCUUCGGACCUCACGCUAUCAGAUGAGCCGAGGUCGGAUUAGCUAGUUGGUGAGGUAAAGGCUCACCAAGGCGACGAUCCGUAACUGGUCUGAGAGGAUGAUCAGUCACACUGGAACUGAGACACGGUCCAGACUCCUACGGGAGGCAGCAGUGGGGAAUAUUGGACAAUGGGCGAAAGCCUGAUCCAGCCAUGCCGCGUGUGUGAAGAAGGUCUUCGGAUUGUAAAGCACUUUAAGUUGGGAGGAUGGGCAGUAAGUUAAUACCUUGCUGUUUUGACGUUACCGACAGAAUAAGCACCGGCUAACUCUGUGCCAGCAGCCGCAGUAACAC
rnacentral:rRNA from 1 species